UCGGUCAUCAGCAGCAAACAUACUAACACUGGAACAAUACAGAGAUCAAAAGCAUGACCUCUGUGCAAGGAUGACAUGCAAAUUCAUCAAUCAUUCCAUUUCUUC